UCACACAAGUUGUGUGCCGCACUUCCUCCAGGGCCACGAGUCUGACACAACUCAAUUCCAAGUUGGGACUUAUACGCAUUAACGGUAGUACCACGGUAGUACAAAUCACCCACAACCAGCCUCACGAGGUACAAGUAUUUUUUCCCAUGUGUCUGUAAUCAGGGGGACAUCAUCUUCUCGUAUCGCUUCACUUCGGGAACCUGCAGUGCCGAGCUGGGCUUCUGCGGCAUAGCCAGUGUGAAGCGCUGCUCUGUGACCAGGCGAGUCAGCAGGCCCUUCCC
rnacentral:lncRNA from 1 species